UACGAAGGGUGCAAACGUUGCUCGGACUUAUUGGGCGUAAAGAGCGCGUAGGCGGCUCGUUAAGUGUGAAGUGAAAUCUCUAGGGCUCAACCCAGAAACUGCUUUACAUACUGGCGAGCUGGAGUGAUGCAGAGGUUUGUGGAAUUCCUGGUGUAGCGGUGAAAUGCGUUGAUAUCAGGAGGAACACCCAUGGCGAAGGCAGCAAACUGGGCAUUAACUGACGCUGAGGCGCGAAAGCGUGGGUAGCAAACAGG
rnacentral:rRNA from 1 species